UCAUUUGUGAAAUUGAGUAAAUUACUUUAUUUUUGAUUAACCCAAAUUUAUGAGUGGAAGUUAUCUCUAAAACUAGCUCUUCUCGACAAAGAGAUGGAAAAAAAAUAUUGACUAGCUUUUCUUGAUAAGUAGUUUCAUUAGGGUAGACUCAGGAUCAAGCCAAUCUCAAUUAAGAAAAAGUUGUAUUAAAUAAGGACGGAUACUCUUUGACCGCCUUUUUUAUGAUCUUAUCAGAAGUUCCAUUUGAUAUUUUAUCUAGUUUUCCAUCACAAAUUUUCUUUUCUGCUGAAGUUUGUUGUUCAGCAUUUCAACACCAUAAAUUUCUGGUAAUAGCAUUGUUUUCUAUGUUCCAUUUUGAGAAAUGACAGCAUUAUGUAUACGGAAAUGUCCUAAGUUUUCUUGUGAUUAUCGUUUAAAAUACAUCAUUGACAUUCAAGUUAACAUUUGUGACGUAUGAGUUAACAUUGCUGUUUAUUUAUUUAAUACAUUUCCUUUCAGUAGCAAAAAUCGAAAAACAAUUAAACACUGCUGCUCCUUCUAUAUAUACAAUUUCAGUAGAGGUGCAGUUGGAUUCUGUCAGUUAACUAGAUAUUCACCUUGUCUCAUCAUUUUUGCACCAAUUCCAGUUCUCACACACCUUAAUUUGUAACUCAUCUUUACUGCACCAAAUAAAAAAGACUGCGUCAUCUACUUUACCAAUUAUUGUUCUUUAAUAGAUUGUAAAUGCAAUGUAUUUUAAUAUUUUAAUACGUGACAUUACCGAAUAUGGAUCCAUUUAGUUGGAAUAUGUGGUUGCACAAUUUUGAAUACAGGCGCAGGUUUCCGAAGUUGAAAGUUGCUCAAGCGGGGAAAAGGUUACUCUGCUUUGACUAUAAUAGAUUUGAUCGAUUUAAUUGAGUUGUGAUAGAGAUUAACUUUGAUGAUGAGGGUAAGAAGGUGAAUCCCCAGUUGAUAAAAUUGAGCCUUGACUUGGUCACCAUAAUGAGUCAUGCAUACAAUAGUGUAAAGAAAGGGCCGAACAGAGAGGAUUUCACUGAACAAUAACACUAGGUACACUUGCAAGAAAAGAACUAGAUAUACAAGGAAAA